AUGAACGCUGGCGGCGUGCCUAAUACAUGCAAGUCGAGCGAACGGACGAGAAGCUUGCUUCUCUGAUGUUAGCGGCGGACGGGUGAGUAACACGUGGAUAACCUACCUAUAAGACUGGGAUAACUUCGGGAAACCGUAGCUAAUACCGGAUAAUAUUUUGAACCGCAUGGUUCAAAAGUGAAAGACGGUCUUGCUGUCACUUAUAGAUGGAUCCGCGCCGCAUUAGCUAGUUGGUAAGGUAACGGCUUACCAAGGCAACGAUGCAUAGCCGACCUGAGAGGGUGAUCGGCCACACUGGAACUGAGACACGGUCCAGACUCCUACGGGAGGCAGCAGUAGGGAAUCUUCCGCAAUGGGCGAAAGCCUGACGGAGCAACGCCGCGUGAGUGAUGAAGGUCUUCGGAUCGUAAAACUCUGUUAUUAGGGAAGAACAUAUGUGUAAGUAACUGUGCACAUCUUGACGGUACCUAAUCAGAAAGCCACGGCUAACUACGUG
rnacentral:rRNA from 1 species